UUCUUCCUGCGGUGCACGUGAGACGCUUACAUUUGGAACCGCAUUCAUAUAAAAGGGAUUGCUUGUACGCGUGAAUAUGUCAUGCCAUAAUCUUGCUUAGCAACAUAGGUGGAAGGCAAAAAACACGGUCGGCUUGCCCACCUGCUGCGGCGGGUUACGAAAUCGGCGUUUCCACGGCUCUCGCGGGUUACUU
rnacentral:other from 1 species